GGGAGCGAAUGCGGCUCUGGUGACCGUCCCGGUCUUCAAAACCGGUGGAACGUUGUAUUCAGCGUUCGGUGGGUUCGAUUCCCAUCCGCUCCCGC
rnacentral:tRNA from 1 species